AUAAAGUUUAAUUCUAGUUUAAAGAUUUAUUUAAUUUUUUUUUUACAUGUAAAUUUUUGUAUGAAUAUUAGUUAAAUUUUAAAAAUUUAAUUAAAAUGAUUUAUUCGCAGUAUUUAAUUUUAAUAAUUUAAGAAAUUAAGAAUUAGAAAUAAAUUUUAAUAUUAACAAAUUUUGUGCCAGCAGUUGCGGUUAUACAAAAGAUAUAAAUGAAUUUUAUUAGUAAAUAAUUAUAUGAAUUAUUGAUAAAUUAAGAUAGUAUUUAUUAGGUGAAAUUUUAAAUAUUAAAUUAAUUUAUAAAAAAGUUUUUAUUAUUAUGAAAUUUGUAUUUAAACUAGGAUUAGAUACCCUAUUAUUUUAAAUGUAAAAAGUUUUACUUAAGUAGUAUUAGUUAUGUUCUUGAAAUUUAAAGAUUUUGGCGGUAUUUUAGUCUAUUUAGAGGAACCUGUUCUGUAAUUGAUAAUCCACGAUUAACUUUACUUAUUUUAUAAAUUUGUAUACCGUCGUUAUUAGAAAAUUUUAGCAGAAAAUAAAUUUUUAAUAUUUUAAAUUAAAAAAUAUAUCAGAUCAAGGUGCAGUAUAUAUUUAAGAAGAAAUGGGUUACAAUAAAUUUAUUUAUACGGAUUAAAGUAAGAAUAAACUUUAUGAAGGUGGAUUUAAUAGUAAUAAAAUUUAAUUAAAUUUUAUGAUUUUAGCUCUAAAAUAUGUACAUAUCGCCCGUCGCUCUUAUUAUAAGGUAAGAUAAGUCGUAACAUAGUAGAUGUACUGGAAAGUGUAUCUAGAAUGAA
rnacentral:ncRNA from 1 species